UUAAUGCAUCUACAAGUAAAAAAAUUUCUCAUUAGAAAGAUAAAGAUAUAUUUUCUUGAAAAAGAAUUAAUAAUUGUCGAUGGAUGAAAAGCAGGGACACAGUGCGUCCUUGAACCGACAUCCACCUUUCGACUAACCUAAUCUCUUCCAUCUCUCUCGACCAUUAAGGAGUAGAUAGGAAUUGCUCACGUCGUAGCGAUCCGAACAAUUCAUUAAACUAUUCAAUCAAGCGACAAAUGAUGUGUACAAAGGGCAAGUCGAACCUCCUCCUCCUCCUCACAUCGCGGUGAUCCGAACAAUUCAUUGAACUAUUCAAUCAAUAGGAGCGGCAAGCGGUGUGUACAAAGGGCAGGUCGAACCUCCUCCUCCUCCUCCUUACCCUUUUUGAGGAUUUUUGAAACAAGGAAACUGGUAAUCUUUUUACUGUUUUUUACUUAAUUUUGUUUUGAAGAUCUUAUCCUACAUUUGAAGAUAGUCGAACGUGAAAUUGCAGUGACAAGAAGUAAUCGGAACUUUUUUGUAUUAACUUAAUUUUGGAAUUCAAUUAUUACAUCAUUGACUA